rnacentral:rRNA from 1 species
AUUGAACGCUGUCGGCAGGCUUAACACAUGCAAGUCGAGCGAGCGGCGGACGGGUGAGUAAUGUCUGGGAAACUGCCUGAUGGAGGGGGAUAACUACUGGAAACGGUAGCUAAUACCGCAUACCAUCAGAUGUGCCCAGAUGGGAUUAGCUAGUAGGUGGGGUAAUGGCUCACCUAGGCGACGAUCCCUCGCUGGUCUGAGAGGAGGACCGUCCACACUGGAACGGGGCCACGUUCCAGACUCCUCCGGCGGGCAGCGUGGGGGAAUAUUGCACAAGGGGCGCAAGCCUGAUGCAGCCAUGCCGCGUGUGUGAAGACGGCCUUCGGGUUGUAAAGCACUUUCAGCGGGGAGGCGUGACUCGCAGAAGAGGCACCGGCAAACUCCGUGCCAGCAGCCGCGGAAAUA